rnacentral:rRNA from 1 species
UACGAAGGGGGCUAGCGUUGCUCGGAAUCACUGGGCGUAAAGCGCACGUAGGCGGAUCUUUAAGUCAGGGGUGAAAUCCUGGAGCUCAACUCCAGAACUGCCUUUGAUACUGGGGAUCUCGAGUCUGGGAGAGGUGAGUGGAACUCCGAGUGUAGAGGUGAAAUUCGUAGAUAUUCGGAAGAACACCAGUGGCGAAGGCGGCUCACUGGCCCGGUACUGACGCUGAGGUGCGAAAGCGUGGGGAGCAAACAGG